UCGAGCACAACGUUGUUCCUCGUUUUGGUUUUCAGCUCUGCCUCUGUGUCUCCUUCUCUCUCUUCUGUGGAAACUCCCCCGAGAAACACGCCCUCGCUGGGCAGAGGUAGAGAGAGAGAGAGAGAGGUCUUCACACUCUUGAAGUCUUCGAGUCCAAGGUGGGAGAUAUAGUUAUUCUAAAAAGUAUCAUUAGGCCAACAGAAACAGUUGCAAUUAGAGUACUUAAAAGCACAGACGCAUUUGAAGAAGUAGAAAGGGAAGAA